UAUUGGGUGAUGCAAAACUUUUGACUACAGCUGUAGAGCUUCUGAAACUACUAUGGAACGGGAGUCUUACAUUUUACCUAAUUAUUCUCUCUCUCUCUCUCUCUCUCUCUCUCUCUCUCUCUCUCUCUCUCUCUCUCUCUCUCUGUAUAAAGUAAAGGCUAACAUUACAAAUUCAUUUUUAUAUUCGCCACCAUGACAUUGAUCAGAGCCAUCUAUAUGCCUCUACUGCUGCACCCCUUUUCAAGUUAGUAAUCUGGAUGCUCAUUACAGAGCCCUACCUGGGAGAUGUCAGAUCUGUAGCAGCAGAAAAAACUAAAGAUUUUCUUCCUGCAGCACUUUUUACAGAUAAAUGCCACAGACAUUAGAUGGACUGCUGUCUUCACUCAGAAAGUUGGUGUUGUACCA